UUUCCAACCCCCAAAGGGAGGAUCGAGGCUUGCGGAGAGGCGGAAGCUGCUGCUGCGGCGGCGGAGGAGACAGAUCCUAGGGUUUCCUUGACCCGUCGCGUGAAUCGUGUUCGCGCGAGCGGAAUUCGCCGUCUCCUGCGCGCGCAUCCAUCGGAGGUACCCGAUCCGGAGGAACAAAGCGAUUCUUUGUCUUCAAAGAAUGGAUCUCUCUCAUGGAAAUUUUGCAGACUGUAAAGAUGGUGUUAGGUAUUUGAUUGAAACUGAGCUGUUACAACAAGUGUACUUCAAGAUGUCUCUAAAGAUGUUGUGGCCGUACGGGACAUCAUAUUAAGGAGCUAUACUAAUCAUUGACACAUCUGAUAAGAUGGCCAUGAGGCAUCCAAAUGGAAAAUGAAUGACGACAUCUCACUGGAACAAUGUGUGGUUUCAAUGAUGAGAGAGAGGUCAGUUGAGUUCUCUCUCUCCCUUUUUUUCUAGAACAACAGUUUGUUGAGCUGACAUUUUCCCUGGUCGUAGGAAGGGGCAUGCUAGCUUAAUAGUAGAUAUAAAUAUCGUUUAGUUCGUACCUUGGUUGAGAUAUGUUUUCUUCCCCAGGAUGACAGCUACUUGUUCAAGGCAAAUGUCAACUAAUGGUUAUAUUAACUCUUGCACUAACUUGGCUACUGUACGGA